GCCUUCGUGGCGUAGUGGUCAGCACGCUCGACGCGUAACCGAGAGGUCCGUGGUUCGAUUCCUGGCGAAGGCG
rnacentral:tRNA from 1 species